rnacentral:rRNA from 1 species
CCUACGGGAGGCAGCAGUGAGGAAUAUUGGUCAAUGGCCGUAAGGCUGAACCAGCCAAGUAGCGUGAGGGAAGACUGCCCUAUGGGUUGUAAACCUCUUUUAUGCGGGGAUAAAGGUGUCCACGUGUGGAUGUUUGCAGGUACCGCAUGAAUAAGGACCGGCUAAUUCCGUGCCAGCAGCCGCGGUAAUACGGAAGGUCCGGGCGUUAUCCGGAUUUAUUGGGUUUACAGGGAGCGUAGGCCGGUCUUUAAGCGUGCCGGGAAAUGUUGUGGCUCAACCAUGAGAGUGCGGCGCGAACUGGAGACCGUGAGUGCGCGGAAGGCAGGCGGAAUUCGUGGUGUAGCGGUGAAAUGCUUAGAUAUCACGAAGAACCCCGAUUGCGAAGGCAGCCUGCCGCAGCGUUACUGACGCUGAAGCUCGAAAGCGCGGGUAUCGAACAGGAUUAGAUACCCGAGUC